UUUCCCACUACAGCCCCGGAAAGCCAGUGCCACAUGCAGUUCGGCCACAGCAGCAGCCUCCAGUGGCUUGGAGGAGUGGACCAGCCGGUCCCCACGGCAGCGGAGUUCAGCCUCAUCACCCGAGCACCCUGAGCUGCAUGCCGAACUGGGCAUCAAACCCCCUUCACCAGGCACUGUCUUAGCUCUUGCCAAACCUCCUUCACCCUGUGCGCCAGGUACAAGCAGCCAGUUCUCGUCAGGGGCUGACCGGGCCACCUCCCCCCUCGUGUCCCUCUACCCUGCUCUGGAGUGCCGGGCCCUCAUUCAGCAGAUGUCUCCCUCUGCCUUUGGUAAGCCUCCUCUGUCUUGGGGUCAGGGACCACCUGGGAGUUAGGGAGAAACUGGAGGAAGAAGCAAGUCCAAAGAUUGGGCUUCUGGAGACUCUGGCUGUCUUCCUAAGAAAAGGAAUGAGGUGCGGGAUGGAGCUUUUCAGGCCCAAGGGAUGUGAGGGGGUCUCUGGGGGAUUUCUUAGUCCCAGGGGAGUGUCCUCCCUAGAGAAAGUAGAGGGGGACAAUGGGUGGGGUUUUUGUGCUCCAUGGGUGUCUGUCUUCCAGAGAGGAGUGGUAAAAAGGGGCUUGGAUGGGAUUUCUGCAGAGCCAGGGAUCAGAGAAGGGUGAGGAGAAGGUGGGCUGAGAGAGCUUGUCUCCACAUUGUCCUUCUCCCCAUUCUUUUGCCUCAGCAGGUCUGAAUGACUGGGAUGAUGAUGAGAUCCUCGCAUCGGUGCUGGCAGUGUCCCAACAGGAAUACCUAGACAGUAUGAAGAAAAACAAAGUGCACAGAGACCCUCCCCCAGACAAGAGUUGAUGGAGACCCAGGGACUGGAGACCAUCUCCCAACUCUACCACUCCUGCCCUCCGGUGCCACCCCAUCUUCUUUGGCUUUCUUCCCUUCUUCCCUCUCUCCCCUCCUCCCCACUUCCCUCUGGCUGGCCCACCCCUGCGCCCCUUCUCAUUGCUGCCGCCACCACCGCCGCCUGUCUCCGCCAGCUGACGUGCCCUGUUG
rnacentral:lncRNA from 1 species